AUGAGAAACUGACGGUGAUACUGGCUACUUGCUGCGAUAAAGAGGGUCUGUCAUUCGGAAACCUGGAAGCUAGUGUGAAGGAGAGAAUGCUCUCAACCUGAAGACAAGUGAGCCAGUGAUGUGUGUCUCUCAAUACGACUGAUACAGCAUUUCCUGAAGCUGCAAGAGGAAAAGAACUCACAUGUGAGAAGUAUAGGCAAACAAGGAGUACAUCUUGUGUUUGUGGUCACAUGGUACAUUCUCACUGUUUGGAACAAGAAAAGUGUGUUGGAAUUCCGAAAGAGUCCUCAUCAUGACUGAUUUCCCCAUUUUUAACGCAGCAACUUUAGGGUCUCCCGACACCACCACUCACAUCGAUUCCUUAGACCCGCCUGUGGAGGAGACCCACAUGAGAGUACACACCAUAAUCAUCGUCAUCAUUUUCUGCGUCGUCUGCUUUCUCCUCUUGGUGGCCUUUUUCUACGCCUUCUGUUUCCACUGCACCAUUGCUCCCGUGCCAAAAGAGGGUCAGUCUCAGGCCAAGUGCAACUUGGAACGUGAAGAUGCUACUUACCGUAGGAGCUCCUCUCUGUCUGUGGUCAACUCUAUCUGAAAUAAUGCAUCUACGAAUAAGAAAAAAGCUCAAAUUAGAGGACCUAGUAGUAAAAAAAGCACUGUAGAUUACAGGAAGACCAGAAGUCAAAGCAGCUGUCACCUAGUUGUUUCUUUGCAGUCAAAUAAUUGUAUUGCUAAUUUUGCUGUAUAAGGAAUAUAAUGAAUUUUUGACCACUCUUGUCCUGUCACAUAAUUUGUAUGAGAUUCACAAGCAUUACUCAAGGUUAGCUCACAUGUGACCAAUGGGAUUGUGUUUUGUAAAUUGCUAUCACAAAUCAAAAGCAGAGCUGUGUAUUGUUGAUCAAUUGAUAGAAACACUUGAUAGUAGGACUUGGAUUACACUCACUACAAUAGAAUAUUUGUUCUCGCCAUUAUUGUACCUUGUUUUUCUAGUAAUCUUCUCUAUUGUUUUUCCCUUGUGUGGUAGAUUGUUAAUGGGAUUUGUAAAUACUCAGAAAUACAUGGAAUAGUCCACUAGAGGGCUCUAUUUAUUUUGUAGACUUGUGCUGGUUACACUGAUGAUAUAUUGAUUUAUGCCUGCAGGAGAGUUUGGCAUGUUCGAGAUUGAAUGUGCAGUGCUUCCGGAACAUUUACUUUAAUACAGGAGUGAAUUAUUCACCAUCAACCUCUGCUUUGUUUUUGCACUGAAGCGAAGAUAAUACACCUUGAACUUGCACUUGGUGGAAAAUCUUCUCAACACUGUAUGUGCAGUAUGUAAGGCAUCUAAAAAAUAAAUCUUUGUUUUUUUUUUC